rnacentral:lncRNA from 1 species
CUCAAACGUGCCCCUAAGCUGUGCAUCCACCCAGGACCUCAGCCGUCCAUACCUUCUGGGGUCAGCACAUCAGGCAGCGGACACGUGGCUGGAUUGCGCGGCGAGUGGUCGGAACCCUGGGAUAAACUUGAUUAUUUUAGCAGCACCCCAACCAGGUUUUUAAGAAUAAAAGUCGAAAAUAUACUCCACUGGCAGCUCCAGAUUUGAGUCCUGUUUCAGACGCAUCUUCUACUGAGCACCAUUGAUGGGCACCACAGCUCACGACGUCCUGGCAAAUAAUUCACACUGACCGUAGCGACUCUUCGAAAAGGCAGCAGGUUCUGAAACUCAUACCUUCCCCCAAUAAUUGACUUCCUGUUAGUGAAAGGAGACAUUGCUUUUUCCUCCCCACAGGGAGAAAACUCUUCAGAUGGCUUGGAGCUGUUUCAGGCGGAGCCUGCAGAGCAGGGAGAGCUGGGGACGUUGUCACAGGGGCCAGCUCGCUGACCCGAGACUGCAAGGACAUUCCUCCUCUUUAAAAUCUGGAUGGCUGAGGACCUGCCUU